GGGGGGGAUUGGCGGAAUCCUUCCUCCAUGAUUUUCAGCCCUGGGGAGCUCUCCUUUCUGCAGUGUGGAGGAGCUCUGGGCAGGAGGCGGUGCCAAGGGAGCCUGCCUUGAUCUCUGCAAUCAUGAAUGUGGCUGAGCAAAUGCAGCUUGUACCUGCUGGAUGGAUACACCUCCCAGAUGCUCUGUUGCUAGAAGGUUCCUGGCAGUGCAGGGAAAGGUGGCUCUGCAGGUGGAGGCUCCACAUAAUGGGCUCAAAACAUCUGGUCCAGUGGUUAAAAGCUGUUCACAGGGGUGACUGGACCCCACUAAGCAUUCUUUCGUCUGUAGUGAAUAUUUCACCAAAAACAGCUCUAGGAAAGGCUGGAGGAUCAGUACUAUGUGCUCAAGCCAUGGCCACGCCCUCCAUCUUCCACUUG